rnacentral:rRNA from 1 species
UUAUGUACAUGCCUACGACAUAGCGUUAAUGCAUCGAAUCCUAGUAGAACUUUGCAAUUAAGCGGGCUCGGGCUAGAGUAGUACUAGGAUGGGUGACUGCCCUGGAAGUCCUAUUGUUUUACAUGAC